AUGUUUUUUGUAGCUCUGCUGCUGCUGUUGGCAGCUGGAUCACGUGUAAAGUGUGAGCAGUUGACACAGCCAGGGUCUGAAACUGUGCAGCCAGGCCAACGUCUGACCAUCACCUGUCAGGGAUCUUAUUCUCUUAGCAGCCACUGGACAGGCUGGAUCAGGCAACCUGCAGGGAAAGGACUGGAGUGGAUCGGUGCCAGAUAUACUGGAGAAGCAGCUUACAAAGAUUCACUAAAGAACAAGUUCAGUAUUGAUUUAGACACUUCAAGCAAAACAGUGACGCUAAUUGGACAGAAUAUGCAGCCUGACGACACUGCCAUGUAUUACUGUGCCAGAGAUGCACAAUAA